GACAGAGGUGCCAAGCGUUAGGCGGAAUCACUGGGCUUAAAGCGUGUGUAGGCGGGGCGUUAAGUACCUUGUGAAAUCCCACGGCUCAACCGUGGAACGGCUGGGUAUACUGGCGAUCUUGAGCCACCUAGGGGCAGUCGGAACAAGUGGUGGAGCGGUGAAAUGCGUAGAUAUCAGGAGGAACACCGGUGGCGAAGGCGGAUCUCUGGGCCAUUACUGACGCUGAGGAGCGAAAGCGUGGGGAGCGAACAGG
rnacentral:rRNA from 1 species